rnacentral:rRNA from 1 species
CCUACGGGAGGCAGCAGUGGGGAAUAUUGGGCAAUGGGCGCAAGCCUGACCCAGCAACGCCGCGUGAAGGCAGACGGCUUUCGGGUUGUCACCUUCUUUUCUCCGUGACGACGCACGUGCCGGUACCUGAGGAAUAAGCCACGGCUAACUACGUGCCAGCAGCCGCGGUAAUACGUAGGUGGCAAGCGUUAUCCGGAUUUACUGGGUGUAAAGGGCGUGUAGGCGGGACUGCAAGUCAGAUGUGAAAACCAUGGGCUCAACCUAUGGCCUGCAUUUGAAACUGUAGUUCUUGAGUACUGGAGAGGCAGACGGAAUUCCUAGUGUAGCGGUGAAAUGCGUAGAUAUUAGGAGGAACACCAGUGGCGAAGGCGGUCUGCUGGACAGCAACUGACGCUGAGGCGCGAAAGCGUGGGGAGCAAACAGGAUUAGAUACCCCUGUAGUC